UUUUCUUUUCUUUUCUUUUCUUUUCUUUUCUUUUCUUUCUUUUCUUUCUUUCUUUCUUUCUUUCUUUCUUGUUGUUGUUUUUCGAGACAGGGUUUCUCUGUGUGACUCUGGCUGUCCUGGAACUCACUCUGUAGGCCAGGCUGGCCUCAAACUCAGAAAUCCGCCUGCCUCUGCCUCCCAAGUGCUGGGAUGAAAGGUGUGCAUCACCCAGCCAUAGUUAGCAUUUCUAUUUGCUGUGACUAGAUGCUACAGCGACUCUUAGAGAGGACAACAUUUAACUGGGGCUGGCUCACAGUUCAGAGGUUCAGUCCGUUGUCGUGACAGAACGCAUGGUCGCAUGCAGGAGACGGUGCUAGAGAGGCAGCUGUCAGCUUUGGAUCUGGAUUUGCAGAACGCAGUAAGACAACAGCACUGGGACUGGCUUGAGCUUCUGAAAUCUCAAGCCCACCCGCAGUGACACAUUUUCUCCAAAUAGGCCACACAUCCUAAUAGUGCCACUCCCUAUGGAUCAACAUGGGCAUUCUCAUCAAACCACCAUGGUGAGUAGAAGCAGAGCCUAGCAUUACUCUCCAUUCUGGUCUAUCUGAGUUCCCUUGCCUCAGACUCCUGCUUGCCUCUGUAUACGCAUGGUAGUCACUAAGGAGUGAGUGUCUGUCACCUUACCUAGCCUGUCUCAUCCUGGCUGAAGGCAGAGUCAAGUCAUUAUGUUAAACCAAUGCCUCUAGGAACGGACUCUCCACCAGCAGGUGGGGCAGUUAUCCACAAGGGUGAGGCUAUACACUGGAGAAGCAGCCACCUCCUCAGAUCAGCUUGUCUGCUCCAGCAAUAGAGACUUCUUAGGAUCACUACAGAGCCAAAUGGAGACAGUGAUCAGUGACAGCACAGAGCAGGACCUCUGAGGGGCACAGACUCUGGCCUGUGCUUCACUCUUCUAUUUAAACCUAAAGCUCACCAGACUGGCGUCACGCCUACAGUCCCAGCAAUCAAAACCACAAGGAGCACCCUUAAGUUGGAGGCCAGCGUGAUCUACAUAGUGAAUUCCAGGCCAAGCAGGGAUACACAGGGAAGAUUUAACUCAAAAUCAAACAAACUGACAUAGAAAGAAUGCAAGAGCCUAAGGAUGGGGGAAGAGUCGUGCAAAAUGCCAUGUUCUAGACACAGAAUUGCAGACACGAACUCAGAGGCUGACAGCUAUGGCUACCCAAGGCCUGCACAAGAUGGGGCCAUCAAUCUUCUAUCAUGACGGGGAGACUUAUAAGGCCUUACCCCUCCUGGGCCAGGAGCUUUUGGCAUGAGCAGUUGCUGGGGAAGGCAGCCUUGUUCACAGUGCUGUAAUCAGUGUUAAGUUGACCAUCCAUGGGUGGGUGAGAUGGCUCCACGGGUAAUGACAGUUGCCACCAAGCCUGACACCCUGGGUUUGAUCUCUAGGACCUGAUAGGUUUUCUUCACUGAUAAAACAAGCCAAUUCGGUCGGGCGGUGGUGGCGCAUGUCUUUAAUCCCAGUACUUGGGAGGCAGAGGCAGGUGGAUUUCUGAGUUCGAGGCCAGCCUGGUCUACAGAGUGAGUUCUAGGACAGCCAGGGCUAUACAGACAAACCCUGUCUGGAAAAAAAAAAUCCAAUUCAAACAGAAUCAAGAAUAUAGGGUUGCUGAUCAGAAGGGAAGGGCGGGACCUUUUGGCCUAUUCCAUUUUGGUCUUUGUUCCCAAACCUGUGGCCUAACAAGAUCCACAGGGUAGAAAGAAAGAGCCAACUCCUGGAGGCCUCUGGCCUACACAUACAUAUACACAUUCAUACACAUAUACACAUACAUAUACAACACAUGUAUGUUUACACGCACAGGCACGCACAUACACACACAGACACACAUAACAUGUAUAUAUAUGCACACUGAGUCAUAACAAAACAACAAAACAAACGAAAACGACUCAUGAAAAUAUGAAGGGUUCCCUGUAUCUAAGGUUCAAGGGACAUCACAGAAGAGGGGCAGAAGGAUUUGAACAAAUCAGAGAACUAGGAUACUGUGACUUCUACAUAUGUGACACUGGGCCUUAUAUAUAUGACAGCUAUGCCCAUGAAGUCUUAACAAUAUGGUCACCUAACCAAGACCUUCACAAUGACACCAGUUGAUAUGCCAACAUGAACAGGGGAAAUCUCACAGGAAUCCAAACCUAGAUGAAGAGCUACAGACCAUUAACAAGACACACACACACACAGAGGGAGAGACAGAGAAAGAGACAGAGAGACAGACACACACACACACACACACACACACACACACACACAGGGAGAGACAGAGAAAGAGAGACAGAGAGACAGACACACACACACACAGACACACACACACAGACACAC
rnacentral:lncRNA from 1 species